rnacentral:rRNA from 1 species
AUGAGUGGCAUGGUCUUGGAAAAUAUCAAGGGUGAUGUUGAGCUAAAGGAUGUGUACUUUCGCUACCCUGCAAGACCCGGGCAGUUAAUAUUAGAUGGAUUAUCAUUACAAGUAGCCAGUGGAACAACAAUGGCCAUAGUUGGAGAGAGUGGAAGUGGCAAGUCAACUGUUAUCAGCCUAGUUGAAAGAUUCUAUGAUCCACAGGCUGGCGAAGUUUUGAUAGAUGGAGUCAACAUCAAGAAUCUGAGUCUUGAUUGGAUAAGAGGGAAGAUCGGCCUUGUUAGCCAAGAACCAUUGUUGUUUAUGACCUCCAUUAAAGAUAACAUAAUCUAUGGUAAAGAAAAUGCAACACUUGAAGAGAUCAAGAGAUCAGCCGAGCUUGCAAAUGCCGCAAACUUCAUCGACAAGUUACCAAAUGGCUAUGACACAUUGGUUGGCCAAUGUGGCACUCUACUUUCUGGAGGACAAAAGCAAAGAAUUGCAAUUGCGAGAGCUAUCCUUAAAGAUCCAAAAAUCCUUUUGCUAGAUGAAGCAACAAGUGCAUUGGAUGUGGAAUCUGAGAGGAUAGUUCAGGAGGCAAUCAAUAGGAUAUUGGUGGAAAGAACCACACUUGUCGUUGCACAUCGUUUGAGCACUGUAAGGAAUGUUGACUGCAUCACAGUCGUUCAUCAAGGGAAAAUAGUCGAACAAGGUCCUCAUCAUGCAUUGGUAAAGGAUCCCAAUGGAGCUUACUCCCAGCUUAUUAGGCUACAAGAAACUCGUGGUGAUGAAAGACGUAAAAUACAGGAUUCAGAAGUGCCCAAUUCCUCAUCAAAAAGCACUAGUUUGUCGGUUAGACGGUCAAUGACUAAUGUUUCUUUUGACAAUAGCAACAGACACUCCUUCAAGAACACAUUAGGACUACCAGUUGAGUUGCAUGAGGAUGCAAUCACAGGUGAACAGAACAAUGAGGACCUUCCCGAUGGGAAGACCCUUCAGAAAGAAGCAGUUGGACGCCUUUUUUAUCUUAACAAGCCAGAGGUACCAUUUCUUCUGCUCGGCGCUAUAGCAGCAUCAGUGCAUGGAGUCAUUUUGCCAUUGUACGGCCUACUAAUGACUGGCAGCAUAAAAUCAUUCUACGAGCCACCAGAUAAGCUGCGAAAAGAUUCUAGCUUUUGGGCGUUGAUAUUUGUAGUUCUGGGGAUUGCAUCUUUCAUUGCAAGCACAGCAGAAUAUCUUUUGUUUGGAAUUGCUGGUGGCAAGCUUAUAGAGCGUGUUCGUACUCUGUCAUUUCAAAAUAUUGUGCAUCAGGAAGUUGCUUGGUUUGAUAAUCCCUCAAAUUCCAGUGGUGCACUUGGUACACGACUCUCAGUUGACGCAUUAAAUGUUCGGCGCUUAGUAGGAGAUAACCUCGGCCUUAUAGUGCAGUCUACAGCUUCACUAAUAGCUGGCUUUGUCAUAGCUUUUAAGGCAGACUGGAGGCUUGCACUGAUUAUCACUUGUGUCAUUCCUUUAUUGGGUGCACAGGGUUAUGCUCAAGCGAAGUUCUUGAAGGGGUUUGGUGAAGAAGCUAAGGAGAUGUAUGAAGAUGCAAGUCAAGUUGCAACUGACGCUGUUAGUAGUAUCAGAACUAUAGCAUCUUUCUGUGCAGAGAAAAGAGUGGUUACAACAUAUAACAAGAAAUGUGAAGCUUUAAGGAAACAGGGAAUUCAAAGUGGAAUCGUUGGAGGUCUUGGUUUUGGUUUCUCAUUCAUGGUGUUGUAUUUUACGAUUGCUUUAUGCUUCUAUGUUGGUGCACAGUUUGUACGUCAGGGAAAAGCUACUUUUGCAGACGUUUCCAAAGUUUUCUUUGCCUUGGUUUUUGCAACUGUUGGGGUUUCAAACGCAAGUGCAUUGGCCUCUAAUGCGACAAAAGCAAAGGAUUCAGCCAUUUCUGUUUUCAGUAUUCUAGAUCGGAAGUCAAAAAUCAAUACAAGUAGCGAUGAGGGUAUGAUGCUGGAAAAUGUCACUAGCGACAUUGAAUUCAGUAAUGUCAGUUUCAAGUACCCAUCACGCCCUGAUGUCCAAAUAUUCAGUGACUUUACUUUGCACAUUCCUUCAAGAAAGACCAUAGCACUAGUUGGAGAGAGUGGUAGUGGAAAGUCCACAAUAAUUUCUUUACUGGAGCGUUUCUAUGAUCCUGAUUCUGGUAGUAUCUCAGUAGAUGGAGUCGAGAUUAAGAGCUUGAGAAUUAGCUGGUUAAGGGAUCAGAUGGGGCUGGUAGCCCAGGAGCCAGUUCUUUUCAACGACACAAUCCGUGCAAACAUAACAUACGGGAAACACGGGGAGGUGACAGAGGAAGAGGUUACGGGUGUGGCCAAGGCAGCAAAUGCUCAUGAGUUUAUAUCGAGCUUGCCACUGGGAUACGACACUCUGGUUGGCGAGAAAGGAGUGCAGCUAUCUGGUGGACAGAAGCAGCGGGUAGCCAUCGCAAGGGCCAUUAUAAAGGACCCGAAGAUACUACUGCUUGACGAGGCGACCAGCGCCCUGGACGCGGAAUCGGAGCGCAUCGUUCAGGACGCAUUGGAUCGAGUCAUGGUGAGCAGGACCACCAUAGUGGUGGCGCACCGCCUCUCCACAAUCAAAGGGGCUGAUGCGAUUGCGGUCCUCAAAGAAGGCAAAAUUGCAGAAAAGGGAAAUCAUGAGGCCCUGAUGCGGAUCAAGGAUGGAGUCUAUGCUUCGCUAGUAGAACUUCGCUCAAAUUCCAAGUAG